ACGAACGCUGGCGGCGUGCUUAACACAUGCAAGUCGAACGGAAAGGCCCUGCGUUUGUGGGGUGCUCGAGUGGCGAACGGGUGAGUAACACGUGAGUAACCUGCCCUUGACUUUGGGAUAACUUCAGGAAACUGGGGCUAAUACCGGAUAGGAGCUCCUGCUGCAUGGUGGGGGUUGGAAAGUUUCGGCGGUUGGGGUUGGACUCGCGGCUUAUCAGCUUGUUGGUGGGGUAGUGGCUUACCAAGGCUUUGACGGGUAGCCGGCCUGAGAGGGUGACCGGCCACAUUGGGACUGAGAUACGGCCCAGACUCCUACGGGAGGCAGCAGUGGGGAAUAUUGCACAAUGGGCGGAAGCCUGAUGCAGCAACGCCGCGUGCGGGAUGACGGCCUUCGGGUUGUAAACCGCUUUCGCCUGUGACGAAGCGUGAGUGACGGUAAUGGGUAAAGAAGCACCGGCUAACUACGUG
rnacentral:rRNA from 1 species